GGGUCAAGACCAAGAAUGGGCACGCGACCGAAAGACCGCGGGAUGGGAAGAGGGCCGAGGCCGUGCGCGGUGCCGAUCAUCGACGGGGACAGCCGAGUGGCGGCGGGCAGCGACGAGGGAGGAUGGAAAGGGCGGAGACUGAGCGGGGAAAGAGCCGAAGCUGAGCCGAUGUCGAGCGAUGGUGGCCGAAAACUGACGGAAGAAUCCGAAGGCCCAAGGGAGGGCUCGAGGGCCGCUCGGCGCGUAGACUCAGUCGGGGAGCCGAGGCUGAGGACCGAGCGGCGGGACGGAAUGGGAGCGAGCGGGCCGCGCCGAGAGCGGCGGUAGGCCCGGACACGCGGGACCCCGAGGACGGCGGGACCCCGAGGACGGCGGGACCCCGAGGACGGCGGGACCCCGAGGACGGAGCGGCUGUUGUGAAGCCCGACGUCCACAGGAUGGAAAGGGUUCCAGGAAGCUGACGAGGAUGCUAGAAAAUCCUGGGAGGAUAGGCUGGGCCAGGUGUCCCACAGGUGAAAGGCAGGUGAGGAUCACGGCCCUGUCCCCAGCACUCACCCCCACGUGUCAACUGUUUCUAAUCCCGCCAGUCACACGAUGAGCGCGUACCAACCACUUUACCCUUUUCUCACAUCCUACCACUAACCAGUGUCCCGGGUCCUGAGUCCCCUGUGCUCAGGAGACCCUGGGGGGGGGG